rnacentral:tRNA from 2 species
GGGGUUGUAGCUCAGAUGGAAGAGCGCUACGCUGGCAGCGUAGAGGUCGAGGGUUCGAGCCCCUUCAGCUCCACCA